GACGAACGCUGGCGGCGUGCUUAACACAUGCAAGUCGAACGGAAAGGCCCUUCGGGGUACUCGAGUGGCGAACGGGUGAGUAACACGUGGGUGAUCUGCCCUGCACUUUGGGAUAAGCCUGGGAAACUGGGUCUAAUACCGAAUAGGACCACGCGCUUCAUGGUGUGUGGUGGAAAGCUUUUGCGGUGUGGGAUGGGCCCGCGGCCUAUCAGCUUGUUGGUGGGGUAAUGGCCUACCAAGGCGACGACGGGUAGCCGGCCUGAGAGGGUGACCGGCCGCACUGGGACUAAGAUACGGCCCAGACUCCUACGGGAGGCAGCAGAGGGGAAUAUUGCACAAUGGGCGCAAGACUGAUGCAGCGACGCCGCGUGAGGGAUGACGGCCUUCGGGUUGUAAACCUCUUUCGCCAGGGACGAAGCGCAAGUGACGGUACCUGGGGAAGAAGGACCGGCCAACUACGUGCCAGCAGCCGCCGUAA
rnacentral:rRNA from 1 species